UCAGUGUAACGGCUCCGCUCUCCACUAGAUGGCGCCGCCAGCCUCCUGGGGUGGGUUCUUGUGGCGCUCGUAGGUGCGUAUGCGCAUGCGCGGGAGCGGUGAAAUGGCGCCACCCAGCUACCCGGUCUGUUCUCCCCAUCAGCAGUCGCACACCCGUCCUCUGUCUUCAGCUCUUGUCCGCUCCCCGCUUCUUGCCUCUCCGUGACCAGGCCCCAGGCAGUCGCUCUCUCCCGAGUUUUGUCUCAGACGCGGCUGUUUUCCCCGGCCCCUUACUUCCGAAGGGCUGCCGCUUCGGCCCCUUCCGCCCCUCUGCGGGCGGGUCUCCCCCGGCAACGGCCGACGCCGGCCGCACCCAGGAAAGUUCGCCAAACCGUGCUGCUGCCGGAGCCCAGAGACCGCGGCCGGGUGCCAGCCGCCCCAGAAAAAGUUCGCGAGCUAGCGCAGCAGCAGCCUUUCAGGGAUUAUGGAAAAUCGCAACUCGCAUCUGGCACCAGGCUUCACCCUUAACGACCUCGUUCCAGCACCAGCGAUCCGGCCGUUCUCUGGGGUCUGCUGGGCCCAGGUGGCCUCACAGCCUCCAGGGGAAGUCCUUCCGGCCGUGGAACCGCUUCUCCCCGUGUGGCCCGAGAACCUCCUGGACCCCGCUCUGCUCCUGGGGAUUCGCCCUUCCCGCCAGAGCACCCACCGCCAGGUGGAGAAACCGUGUCCCAGAGAGAGAGCAAGGUCACAGCAAGUUAGAGACAUGCCAGAAUUCCGCAGGGAACGAGACCCUCCCUCCUGCGGGAGGCCCUGGGGGUGUCUAAUUCUGGGACGCGUUCUCCUUGGAAACGGGCCUGAUCACAGCCGUCAGAAUUUUUCAAACUCUGCUCCCAUCCUGCAGCCACCCCCUCUCCAGGUGCUGUAGAAUCUUGGUUCCUAGAGCUCAGCUCAUGAUCUCGCAGUUUGGGGAGUUCCAGCCCUGCAUCGGGCUCUGUGCGGACAGCGUGGAGCCUGCUUGAGACAUUCGUCUCCCUCUCUCUGUCUUUGCCUCCCUCCACUCACGCUGUCUCCUCUCUAAGUACACAAAUAAACUUAAAAAAAGCCACGUCCAUUUCUCCUCUGUCCCGUUCUGCUUCUCCCUGCCUUAUGCUGUCUUUCCUCUCUCCGGAAUGGUAGGCCUAGGGGUUGAGGUAGAAGGAGGCAGAGCUGACGUGUUGGCCGAAUUCCCAGGCCUGCUUGGGCCGGACCUCGGAGACAGAGGAGUCCUGGGGGCGUGUGAGGCCUCCCGGCUGCGGCUGCGGGGAUCCCAGGGCACUGGGGCCUCCCUGAUUCCCUGGAUCUCCAUCUUUCUAAGGGGAGGGCCGGUCCAGAGCGGGACUGGAGUGAGCCCGACCCCCUCCCUGGCCAGUGGCGUUUGCGGGUCUACCACACCAUCCCCCAUCCCUGGCCCAGCCCACACUGCCUGUCCCCGCCCCCACUGUGUGAUCUGGGGGUCUCAGGGUAGACUUUUCUCCCCUCUCCCCGGAGGCCCCGCCCAGGCGGGGCAGCCGCGCAUGCAGACCCACCUCCUGCCCGCCUCCGCGUCGCGGUAGUCCUCGAUGGCCAGCCGGAGCUUGCGCCGGUGCAGGGAGCUGCACACGCCCAGGCCCAGCUCCAGGUCCUCGUCACUCAGGCUCAGCAGCACCUGCUCCCCCGGGAGGUGAAAACUGAGCCCAGGAGGGAGGUUUGGGUGGGCACCCGAGGCUCCCGGGGCCCGCCGCUGGCUGUGCAGCCGA